rnacentral:rRNA from 1 species
UGGAGGCAGCAGUGAGGAAUAUUGGUCAAUGGGUGAAAGCCUGAACCAGCCAUGCCGCGUGCAGGAAGACGGCCUUCUGGGUUGUAAACUGCUUUUGUCAGGGGAUAAAAUACCCGUGCGCGGGGAAUUGAAGGUACCUGAUGAAUAAGCCACGGCUAACUACGUGCCAGCAGCCGCGGUAAUACGUAGGUGGCAAGCGUUGUCCGGAUUUAUUGGGUUUAAAGGGUGCGUAGGCGGCUUUGUAAGUCAGUGGUGAAAGACGGCAGCUCAACUGUCGAGGUGCCAUUGAUACUGCAGAGCUAGAGUACUGAUGAGGUAGGCGGAAUGGACGGUGUAGCGGUGAAAUGCUUAGAUAUCGUCCAGAACACCGAUAGCGAAGGCAGCUUACUAAGGAGUAACUGACGCUGAGGCACGAAAGUGUGGGGAUCAAACAGGAUUAGAUACCCUGGU